ACUAAACCUAACUAGCAGCUCUAGUGAACCAGAAUCAAGUGACCCCCUUAUCUCUUCAACGUAAACAUAGCAAUAUCCCACCAAAUCCGCCUGCUGCUCACCUCUCACAUCCGCUUACAGCCCUCUUCUCCUUUCUCACACUCCAUCUCUGAAGCUUGCAGGCUCCAUGUGCGAUUUCAGCAGAUUUCAUGGUAAGUCCCAUCCCUAUUUUCAUCAUCUCAUCUGUUGAAAAUAUCUCCCAAAAUUUCCCCCCUUUUCCUUAUUUUUGAAUUUCGAAUUCUUACUUCUUUGUAGAGCUGUUGAAACCCUCAGUUGUUAGCUAUAAAUAGAAGCCCUUAGUGAGCUAUUUGAGACAGGUUCAAGUGUUGGAAAUUCCUCUUGAAUAACCCAAAAAAUCUCAUAUAUUUUCAUCAAGCUUUUCAUAAAAAAUCUUUUUUUUUUUUUUACUCCAAGUUGGUGGUCUCAAAAAUUCUCUUUUAACUCUAAGUUUGUUUCGUCGAAAUUCUUGAUGGUUCUCGGCUAAACAAGCUCUUCAAGAGGAUUUGGAGGCUCGAGAUGACAACAAGCCUCAGUUCGCUGUCACGGAGAAGGUAGACAGGGAGACAGAGCAGAUGCUUAGGAUUUUACUCAGCAGGUUUACAGGAGCACUCCACUACUCCGGGGGUGCAGUUUUGAUAUAUUAUUUUGUAUUCAUAUUCGGGUAUGACGGGGUCCUGUCCUGUCCUUAUGUCUCAGUACUCUAGUAGAGGCUCGUACAUACGUAUGCGUGGAUAGUUGUUGUCUCAUGGAUACAUCAGUGUAUAUUUUUGUAUACCAUUUUUGCAGCCGUGAGGGCUUGUGUAUAUAUAUGUAUUGCAUUGGAGGUUGUG